rnacentral:antisense_RNA from 1 species
UGUGGGAGCGAGCCUGCUCGCGAAAGCGGUGGUUCAGUCACAUCAUUGUUGACUGACAGAUCGCCUUCGCGAGCAGGCUCGCUCCCACA